ensembl:lncRNA
UCACUCUGUUCACCUGUGCCUUACUUUCCCUAGCUAUGUCUCUUUCCCUGAUUAUCUCAUGUGUGUUUAAGCCCUCAGUUUAGUUUAAUUUCUGUUUCUACUGUUGUUGUGGAUUUGCUGCUGCCAUUUAAAAAAAGCCGAUCGCAGCAGAAAAAGUGAGCAACAACAAAACUAAAACACAAAUGAAAACAAGCAACAACAGCAAAUAAGAAGCAGCAUUCUGCCACAAAGCUUCUCGCCUGUGGGAAUCAGUCUUUCCUAGUUGCUGCUAUCUUGUGGCUGUACUCUGUAUGACUAUGAUUCCACUGGUCUCUGUAGCAUGAUGUUGAUCAUGGAUCUAAUAAAGGUGGAAGCCCCUCCCCCC